AACGAACACUGGCGGCGUGGUUUAGGCAUGCAAGUCGAACGUGAAAGUUUCCUUCGGGAAAUGAGUAAAGUGGCGAACGGGUGAGUAACGCGUGGGAAACCUUCCCUUCGUUGGGGGAUAACAGUUCUAACGAGCUGCUAAUACCGCAUACGACCUUUGGAUCGCAUGGUCUGGAGGUGAAAGGGGGCGCCCUCUUCGGAGAGCUCCCGACGAUGGAUGGUCCCGCGUCCCAUUAGCUAGUUGGCGGGGUAAUGGCCCACCAAGGCGACGAUGGGUAGCCGGCCUGAGAGGGUGUCCGGCCACACUGGGACUGAGAUACGGCCCAGACUCCUACGGGAGGCAGCAGUCGAGAAGCUUCGGCAAUGGGCGAAAGCCUGACCGAGCGACGCCGCGUGAGCGAAGAAGGCCCUAUGGGUUGUAAAGCUCUGUCAGAUUGGGAAGAAAACCUCGUGAUUAAUACCUGCGAGGCUUGACGGUACCAUCAGAGGAAGCACCGGCUAACCCCGUGCCAGCAGCCGCGGUAAAG
rnacentral:rRNA from 1 species